UACGUAGGGUGCAAGCGUUAAUCGGAAUUACUGGGCGUAAAGCGUGCGCAGGCGGUUAUGCAAGACAGAUGUGAAAUCCCCGGGCUUAACCUGGGAACCGCAUUUGUGACUGCAUAGCUGGAGUAUGGCAGAGGAAGGUGGAAUUCCACGUGUAGCGGUGAAAUGCGUAGAGAUGUGGAGGAACACCGAUGGCGAAGGCAGCCUUCUGGGCCAAUACUGACGCUUAUGCACGAAAGCGUGGGGAGCAAACAGG
rnacentral:rRNA from 1 species